CCUACGGGUGGCAGCAGUGGGGAAUAUUGCACAAUGGGGGAAACCCUGAUGCAGCGACGCCGCGUGAGUGAAGAAGUAAUUCGUUACGUAAAGCUCUAUCAGCAGGGAAGAAAAUGACGGUAACUGAUUAAGAAGCCCCGGCUAACUACGUGCCAGCAGCCGCGGUAAUACGUAGGGGGCAAGCGUUAUCCGGAUGUACUGGGUGGAAAGGGAGCGUAGACGGCAGUGCAAGUCUGGAGUGAAAGGCGGGGGCUCAACCCCCGGACUGCUCUGGAAACGGUACGGCGGGAGUGCGUGAGAGGUUAGUGGAAGUCCUGGUGUAGCGGGGAAAUGCGUAGAUAUUAGGAGGAACACCAGUGGCGAAGGCGACUUACUGGACUGUAACUGACGUUGAGGAUCGAAAGCGUGGGGAGCAAACAGGAUUAGAUACCCGAGUAGUC
rnacentral:rRNA from 1 species